rnacentral:rRNA from 1 species
UACGUAGGGGGCGAGCGUUGUCCGGAUUUAUUGGGUUUAAAGGGCGCGUAGGCGGCGUGUUAAGUCACUUGUGAAAUCUCUAAGCUUAACUUAGAACGGUCAAGUGAUACUGAUGUGCUAGAGUGCAGAAGGGGCAACCGGAAUUCUUGGUGUAGCGGUGAAAUGCGCAGAUAUCAGGAGGAACACCGGUGGCGAAGGCGGGUCUCUGGGCCGAUACUGACGCUGAGGAGCGAAAGCGUGGGGAGCGAACAGG